UACGGAGGGUGCAAGCGUUGUCCGGAUUCACUGGGCUUAAAGGGUGUGUAGGGGGAUAUUUAAGUCAGUGGUGAAAUCUCAAGGCUCAACCUUGAAACUGCCAUUGAUACUAUUUAUCUUGAAUAUCGUUGAGGUAGGCGGAAUAUAUCAUGUAGCGGUGAAAUGCUUAGAUAUGAUAUAGAACACCGAUUGCGAAGGCAGCUUGCUAAACGAUUAUUGACGCUGAGGCACGAAAGCGUGGGGAUCAAACAGG
rnacentral:rRNA from 1 species